rnacentral:lncRNA from 1 species
CGACCGUCCGUCCGUCCGUCCAAUCCGACCAUCCGUCCUGUGCCUACAACAUUUUGGUAUCAGAGCUGAAGUUUCCUGUGAAACUCAGUUCUUUCUGAACCCUAGCCGUUGCACUUCAAAAAAAAAAUAUUUACUUUCCAUAUUUUGAAAUUUUUGGAUUGUUCUCCAAGUUUUCGAUUUUUGCAUUUAAAAAAAAAAAAUCAAAUAGUUUUGCUUUCCUUCCAAGCUUUCGAAAAUCAAAAAAA